CUACCGGGGUAUCUAAUCCCGUUUGCUCCCCUGGCUUUCGUGCCUCAGCGUCAGGAAAUGUCCAGAGACUCGCCUUCGCCACUGGUGUUCCACUUGAUAUCUACGCAUUUCACUGCUACACCAAGUAUUCCAGUCUCCCCUCCAUUCCUCCAGUCGGACAGUUUCCAAUGCCGUUCCGCAGUUAAGCUGCGGGAUUUCACAUCAGACUUGUCCAACCGCCUACGCACCCUUUACGCCCAGUGAAUCCGAACAACGCUCGGGACCUCUGUAUUACCGCGGCUGCUGGCAC
rnacentral:rRNA from 1 species